AGAUAGAAGGCUGCAAAGGGAUUGUCAAAACCUUAUGUCUAUCCAUUUGGGUGCAGUUUCCGAGUUCAUCUUUGACCAAAAAAAUUGGGAUUAUGAACUCUUUGACAUGUAGCAACAUCUUUUACAAGGAUACUCCACCCAAUGAAGUGGUUGGUCCUGGCUAAGAAUGGCGCACCAAAACUGAAUGAACAGUCGUAUCCCCGCUGACCGUACCCAAGCCAAAUAAGGUCUGAACACUAAAACAGAACAU